GAUGAACGCUGGCGGAGUGCCUAAUACAUGCAAGUCGAGCGGCAGCACGAGUAGUUUACUACUUGGUGGCGAGCGGCGGACGGCUGAGUAACGCGUGGGAACGUGCCCCAAAGUGAGGAAUAACUGCCCGAAAGGGUAGCUAAUGCCGCAUAUGAUCUUCGGAUUAAAGUAUUUAUUACGCUUUGGGAGCGGCCCGCGUCCGAUUAGAUAGUUGGUGAGGUAAAGCUGACCAAGGCGAUGAUCGGUAACUGGUCUGAGAGGACGACCAGUCACACUGGGACUGAGACACGGCCCAGACUCCUACGGGAGGCAGAAGUGGGGAAUAUUGGACAAUGGGGGCAACCCUGAUCCAGCAAUGCCGCGUGUGUGAAGAAGGCCUUCGGGUUGUAAAGCACUUUAGGUUGGGAAGAAGGUGGUUAUUUUAAGAGAUAGAUCACUUGACGGUACCGACAGAAUAAGCACCGGCUAAC
rnacentral:rRNA from 1 species